rnacentral:rRNA from 1 species
UGGGGAAUAUUGCACAAUGGGCGCAAGCCUGAUGCAGCAACGCCGCGUGAGGGAUGACGGCCUUCGGGUUGUAAACCUCUUUUAGCAGGGAAGAAGCGAAAGUGACGGUACCUGCAGAAAAAGCACCGGCUAACUACGUGCCAGCAGCCGCGGUAAUACGUAGGGUGCAAGCGUUGUCCGGAAUUAUUGGGCGUAAAGAGCUCGUAGGCGGUCUGUCGCGUCUGCUGUGAAAUCCCGAGGCUCAACCUCGGGCCUGCAGUGGGUACGGGCAGACUAGAGUGCGGUAGGGGAGAAUGGAACUCCUGGUGUAGCGGUGGAAUGCGCAGAUAUCAGGAAGAACACCGAUGGCGAAGGCAGUUCUCUGGGCCGUAACUGACGCUGAGGAGCGAAAGCGUGGGGAGCGAACAGGAUUAGAUACCCUGGUAGUCCACGCCGUAAACGUUGGGCGCUAGAUGUGGGGACCAUUCCACGGUUUCCGUGUCGCAGCUAACGCAUUAAGCGCCCCGCCUGGGGAGUACGGCCGCAAGGCUAAAACUUAAAGGAAUUGACAGGGUCAUAGCUGUUUCCUG